CUGCUUCUCUCCAGGCUCAGAUUCCCACAAAGACUCACAUGGCUUCACACGCUCUGCUCCCUCAUGGACUCUGCUUCCCCACUUCUGGAUUCCUUUUUCCUCGACCCUUUUUCUCCGUCUUGUGAGUAUCCCUUCUUCGUUUAUUUUUGUUAAUCCAGUUUAGUAUUGGUUGACUUCCGUUUCUGUAUUCGUAGUGUUUGCUGGGUUUUGAAUAGUUGGGUUUAGUUUUGUUUCCCCAGUUCAGCUCUCCAUUUAUGUACUAGUUUAGUUAUCUUUUUAAAUGAAACUCUUUCCAUUAUUCACCUGUCUGCAAGUCUCUCAGUGUCUGUGCCUGCGUUGUCCAACUCAGGGCCCAAACCGUCCCUUAAAUAAUCCUGGGUCCGUUUCACGAAGCAGGUUCAACAAACUCUGUGUAACCCUGAACUCUGAGUUGAUCUACUCUGAGAUACGAAACUCUGACUUUUUGGUUUAACAACGGCUGAUUGGAGUUGGUUUAAUCAACUCGGAGUAGUUUCACCCAGAGUGCACCGCAACUAUAAAAAGACAGCAUCAAUGGAACCCCGAUUCGACGAGUCACCAUGGUGACGGGGAAGCGGAGAGCUACGUUUUUUUUACACCACUUGAACUGGACAUCUUAAUGCGUUCAUAUGGCGACUUCGAACACGUUUUUAGAAAGAAGUGCAACACCUGCAGCUGCAAAAGAGAGGGAGACGGCGUGGGAGAACAUUGUUGCCCGGGUCAAUGCGUAAGUUUAAAUCACAAUAAUAUUACAGCAAAACUGUUUAAUAGCAGCCUAUUCUGUUAUUUCAUUUAGGUGCAAUCCUGCGGGGGAGAAGCGCAUGUGGCAGCAGCUGAAGAUGAAAUAUAAGAACAUUGUUCAAACGGCCAACAGAAAGAAAGGAGAUGCCUGUAAAAAGGAGGUGGCCCAGCAGCACCACCUGUAACGGAGGCAGAGGAGCUGCUCCUAAGCCAGAAUUUGGGAAGGCCAGUGGCUGAGGGAAUCCCUGGAGGGAGCUCAUCCUCUGAGACCACAUCCCAAGACACAAGUGUGUGUGUGCGUGCGUGUGUGUUCAUGCGCCCACUGAACAUUUGCCAUAAGGAAGCACAGAGCACUGCAUUGUUUCUGCCUACGAGCGAGUGUGUGUGCAGCCACAGCGAUGGCAUGCGUGAAGGGGUGUGCUUUAAAGAUGGUGAGUUUAAUUAGAGAUGAAAGGGCUGAUUGUUUAAUUGAUGGAAGGUGGACUGUUCCAUCAGGCUGAAAUGUGUGCGUGUUGACUCUUCUACUGUAGAAAAACAGAAAAAGUGGAAAAAAGCUACAUUUUUUGAGAAAACUAGGACAGCAUCUUAAGAGACACAUUAUAUUGUCAUUUAAAAACAAAUGAUAAAUAUAAUUUGCUAAUUUGAUCAGUCCUUUAUUGAAGAAAACUGGCGUGGAGGUUCAGAUACACACAUCUGGAUGACAAAAAAGAUAUUUAAAUGAUUUUCUAGUGCAGAUCUUUGCCUGUAUUUACUCAUGCCGUGCUAUAGAAGUGAGCAGAUCAUCCCUGCUGUGUUUUUACUGCUCAUCUCUCAGCAGGUCUUCCUUUGCCCCCGUCUUCUCAAGGUGGCACCGAGUUCUACGAGUGCCUCUGAGACUCUCCUCUAUAAAAAAAAUGGAGCAGCACAAGCCCUUUUGACAUCACACUUUCUGCUACCAGGAGAUUAGAAAGUGAAGGUGGAGCACUCCGGAGAAAACGCUCUCGGCAAGAGGAAAAGGUGCAACAGAAAAUUGGACCUUCCAAGCGUACUUGUGGAGAUGCAGGCUGAGGAGGAGCGGAACCGGCACCCAGCAUGAUGAGAACAUCUGGUUGCUCCUCAGCGAGGCAAGAGAGAAUGAAGCGGCCUUGCAGCGGGAGGAGAUGGUCCAGAAUGCUGCCUUCAACCAGUCAUUCCUGGGUGUACUGGGGCAGCUGGGGCAGGCAGUGCUGGGUGUACUGGGGCAGCUGGGGCAGGCAGUGGGCAGCCAGCGAGUCCACCUCCCAGAGACUUGAGAUUUAGUUGUAUAUAGUUUUACUUUUAGCCCUCCACUGUAGGAGAGGCCCACCACAGUUUGUACUUUGCACAUUGUAAAUGGUUUUGAUUUUGCUGCUGACUAAUAAACUAUUUUGUGACUUAUGUGAUUGCAUCAUAACUUUUCAUUUUGUCUGUUAAGACACUGGUAGGAAAAGAGUCAACAGUCUGAACCAAACAAUUCUGUAUUCCCUAAUAAUGCAUUUAUGUUUAAUGGGAUUUAACAUGUUUUAACACAAACUCCUUUAUGGUUCAUAAUUCCAUUGACUGAAUUACACCAAAGCAAU
ensembl:lncRNA